rnacentral:lncRNA from 1 species
CUUCAUUUCCUGUGCUGAACUGUAGGGUAGUGUUGCAGCGUGCUGUUAAACAGCUGCCACGCGCUACCCAGAGGCGCUCGUGCUUCGGCAGUGGGUGGGUUUGGCACGCUCCAAGGAUGGUGAGGGAGCAGCAAAAAGGGCAGCUUAGGCUGCUGCUUGCCUCCCCACCUCCCCAGCAUGGCUCAGACACUGCUGGCUCUCUCUGCUCUUUCUCACAUGGCCAAAAUCUGGACAACACCUUUCCCUUUUCAGAUUAUGCCCUCAUUGCUCUUCCCUCAGUGGAAAACAUCUGCACACAGCUGCCUGUGGAGGCCACCAGCCCUCCUCCCCGCCUGAUCCAGCUGUGCUGGUGGAGCUGCAGGAGCCACGCGACAUCCCCAGGCAGCUCCUGGGCUGGGGAAGAUGACUUCAGCAACCACCAAGGCCACCCAGCUGCUGUUUGAAGACCCCGUGCCAUCCUCUCCAUCACCCCGCCUACACUUUAUAAUGUGAAGCUUUUUUGGCUGUGGAUAUUAAUCUCUCCUUUCCUGAUCUCGCAUGUCUGCUGCUUCACAUCUCCCGCUCACUGUCUUUAUGGGUUCUUUUGGCUUUUUGAGGCUGUUUCUUCCAUUGCUGGUCACACAUUUCCAAGAUUACUUUGCUGCUCACUUUCUGCAUCUGUCACCCUGCAGGUCCCUGUGACUCUCAUGCCCAGCAGCACACACUCACCUCAGCAUGCUCAAGUACCCGCCACAUCCUCAUGGGGCCACUCUCCAUAUUGACCUUCAUAGGGUCCUUCACAAGUCUUAAAUCUACUUACUAUGUCCAUCCCCCCCACCCUUGUCCAUCUUUUCCCUGCUGACAGGACAGACUCUGGCUUGUAGCCGAUGAUCCUCGUUUUCUCUACUUUGGACCAUUUCCUCCCUGCUGGUGGUGGGAGUCCCUGGCAGCCAGCCUAGUUUGCUCUUCCAACUAUUUUGCCAGCAAAACAGGAGCUGUUGCUGUUGUGUACCAGGGCUGGAGGUGAGAGCUGUGCAGGAGGUGCUGUGGGCAGCGAUGCUGCUCUCCUUGCCAAGCAGCAUCAAGGGUGUCCAGCUGCAGGUCUGGCUGGGGUAAGCAGGGCAAUGCAAGGCUAUGGGAAAGCAAAACUGAUUAGCUCAACAUAAGCUCUCCUUGCAUCAAAUGAGGGAAAAACACAUCCUUCUGCCUCUCUGGCAGAAAAGAGAGGUGACAGGAAAAAUCCCAUUCCCUGUGGAAGAAAUACCAAGUGCAGUGGAGGAUUACUUCAGCUGGCUUCACUGGGACUGGCAAUGUGCAGCAGAAGAGAGCCCAUAAUUUGUGUUUUUCUUAUCUUUCAUACAGCCUCCACUUAAAAUACUGUUUUCAUUCAUCUAUACAUAUAGUAUUGUCUGUCCCCCUUAAAAAAAAUAGCUGCUUUCCACCACCCAUAGACACAUUACAGAU